rnacentral:tRNA from 1 species
GGGAUUGUGGCUUAGCGGUAGAGCGCUCGCCUAGCAUGCGUGCGGCCCUGGGUUCGAUCCUCAGAACCUCG